rnacentral:RNase_P_RNA from 1 species
UUCCCGUCGCCUUGCAAUUAUAUGUGAGGUAGGAUUAGAGUCACAGAGACGAGUUUGAGAAGGGUUAUUUUAUAACUUUUCUCAAGGUGAAACGAGGCAAUCUCUACGCGGAGCAAAACCAAAUAGGUCUCGCUAAAAAAGAAUGGCCCGUUCGUAAGAGCGAGACGGGUAGGUUGCUUGAUUCUGGCAGCAAUGUCAGGGCUAGAUAGAUGACCAUUUAUCCUUACCGGAUAACAGAACCCGGCUUACAGGCCUGUGCCAUAU